CUACCGAUGCCGCAAGGCAGAGGGAUGUUGACAGGGAAGUCAGCCGAGGUCGUAGUAGAGGCCGAACCUCGAAGGAC
rnacentral:ncRNA from 1 species